CUUCUCAUGCCCAAGCCUUUGCACCUGCCACUCCUUCCACCUGGAAUACCCAGCCUGCCUCUCCCCACAACAAGGCCCAUUCCUCUUUCAGGCCUCUGAGCAGGUGCCACUUCCUCCAGGAAGCCUUCCCUGGCUCCCAUCCAUAUACCCUGAAACGCCUCUGCCUGUGCAGUGGCCUCCCACUGUAUGGUCACCACCUGACUGCCUCUCCGUCUUUUUAUCUUUUUCACCAGGUCCUUCCUUCUCUUUUGCUCACUGCUGAAUUCCCAGCGCCUAGCAUCGAAUUUGGUGCGCAAGAGGUGCCCAGCAAACGCCUGUGGAAUGAGUGAACGGUGGGGACGGUCAGGGCUGCCUCUGCUUGCACCCGCGGGCAGGCCGGGGAGGGCAGGAAGGAGAGCGCUGUGGGGCCUUCCCUCCCCGCCGUCCUCCCAAACCCUUUCCCUGCCCAACAGGGCGCCACUGGCCUGUCCCACACCCUCUCUGCCGCCUGCCCAGUGACCUAAUUAUUGUUUUUUCUUCCAGCCCCGCGGAGGGGAAAACAGAAAUUCCUGGUGGAUGACACAGGCCCGGCGGCCGCCUGCGAGCAGAGCACGGGACCGGCUGGGCCGGCUUCGCCCGCCCUGAACCCGCCGCCCGCCCCGCCGAGGGCCGCGGAACCCGUCAUCAGCUAAGGCAGGGCCUGUGCCUCCUCCAUCAGACUGGAGACUCCCUGUUCACAGUCCCCUCAAGCUUCAACUCUCCAGUCCUGUGGCACCGAAUCUCACUCCAGGAUCCCCCAACACCCUCAAGGCUGGUAAGAUACACCCUCAUGCACCUCCUACUCCAGGCCAGACCUCUCCGCAGGCUGGGGGUGGAGGCCUGGCCUGGGUCAGGUAGGGGUGUGGGGGGCAGAUCUUCCAGCCCCCUCUCCCUGGAAGGCCCUUGUGGUCACGGACCACAUCUUGUUUGUUCCCACGUCCCCCGUGCCAAUUGCAGAGACUGGCCUAGAGUGGGCUCUGGUGACACGAACAAGGAGGAUGUAGAGAAGGUGACUUGGGAUGUUCCCUGAGGGGAUUCAGAAAGAAGUUCCAGGCCUCCAGAUCCCCAUCCCCGCCAGCUCCCCAAGAGCCACAGUCUGGAAUUCCACUGAGGGAGACACGUCUUUGACAUUCUCUUCCUGGGAAUAAUUCAGAGGGUUCAUUUACGAUGCUCAGACCCGGAGGCUUUAGGGACUUUUGAGUCAAGAAACCGGGGUAGAAACCUGGGUGCUGGGAGAUCUGGGCAGGGGUGGGUCUGCCAGCCUGCUCCUCAGCCUCCAGCGGGGAAGGGGUGAGCCCCCAGAGCGGGACUGACCUCCAGACAGGCUUGUGC
rnacentral:lncRNA from 1 species